AUAAAAAAAAUUAGUGCUUCUAACUGUUUGACCCUUGGAUCAACUCCAAUGAUCAUUUUUGAUCUUUUGAUUAAUAUGAUUAUCUCAGAAAAACCACUCAAUCCUAAGGGGGAUCACUAUCAUUCCGACCCUACAAUUUUUAAUCCAAUAACCAAAAAGUCAGAAGCACCAAUUCUCUUAUAUUUUCAACAGUAUAAUAACUCUAUACUUAAAAUAUUAUAAACCGUAAAAUAAACAGUCCUUAAAAUGAGUCUAAGGCUUCGUUGGGUAUUGCAGGGAGAUUGCGUUACGUGCGAUGAGAAAGUACGAUAGAAAAAUACCCUAUUUAUUUUCGUACGUAAUACUGUGUUUCGCAUAUUAUGAUGAGUUGGUUAUAAUAUAUAUUUUUUGUGUUCCCACCGGAGAACGCAGAAGUAUAUCCCAUAUGCUUUUUUUUCUAACUCCAUUUUGUUUAACAGCAUUAGAUAGAACUGAAUAUCAAACUAAACCUAAGUUACUACUGUAUUAUAUUUGCAAAGUUCUAAAGCACUCAAGUGUUUAGUGACGGCAUGAGGCGGAUUUAGAUUGGUUUAU
rnacentral:lncRNA from 1 species